UGGGGAAUAUUGCACAAUGGAGGGAACUCUGAUGCAGCGACGCCGCGUGAACGAAGAAGGCUUUCGAGUCGUAAAGUUCUUUUAUAUGGGAAGAUAAUGACGGUACCCUGUGAGGAAGCCCCGGCUAACUACGUGCCAGCAGCCGCGGUAAUACGUAGGGGGCUAGCGUUAUCCGGAUUUACUGGGCGUAAAGGGUGCGUAGGUGGUCCUUCAAGUCGGUGGUUAAAGGCUACGGCUCAACCGUAGUAAGCCGCCGAAACUGGAGGACUUGAGUGCAGGAGAGGAAAGUGGAAUUCCCAGUGUAGCGGUGAAAUGCGUAGAUAUUGGGAGGAACACCAGUAGCGAAGGCGGCUUUCUGGACUGCAACUGACACUGAGGCACGAAAGCGUGGGUAGCAAACAGG
rnacentral:rRNA from 1 species